rnacentral:misc_RNA from 1 species
CAUAAAGUACAUAUAAACAAACUAAUAUUACAGCAAAAAAAAUUACAAAUAAAUAAGGUGAGGUGCAUUAACCAUUGUUCGAAAAACAGUUAGUGAAACACUUACAAGGCCUUAAAUUAUAAGAGGCACAAUUACACAAAAGGAUUAGUACCUCAGUAACUUCUAAAGGCCCACUCUAACUGCACAGCUUUCUUCGUCAUCUUCUUCUUAUUCUCCACCUUCCUCACGAAUGAUAACUAAUCUCCUACCAAUUCAAAAUUUCUCUCCUUGAAAGAAUUUAAACCGGACAAUCCCUCAUAUCUUCUUUGAUUGUUGUUAUUUACAGUAAAAAGAAUUGUACAAUGUACAUAUAUUCCCUUUUCUUAUGAGGAAUGAAUAACUGCAAUAAUUGAUGAUAUCAGUAAUUAGAUAAGCAACUACAGACAAUUCAAUUCACCAUCUAUUAUCUUGCAUAAACCAAGGCGAGUUUUCUCUCCUUGAGGACCUAGCCAACAUUGUAUUUGAUCUACUUCUUCGUGCUAAACCAGAUUCAUCCCUAGCACGCCUUCCUAUCCUUCCGAAGAAGGAAAAGAAAUUGCGAAAUGCACGGCCCAACCCACUGCCCUCUCUUGAUCUUCUCCCACUGGGUGCCCAUGAAAUCAUCCUAGGUGCAGUUGGAGCGUUGAACCCACCAUCCAUCUCCGUAAACACAACAGGAAGCUCCCUCUCUGCCGCUCUCCUUCCCCCAGUAAAUCUCCCUACCGCAAAACCGCCACCAGGCAGUCUCCAUAUCGUUAAGCCCACAGUCUCCUCACCUGACUCUGGUGAACUCCUGCCACUCCCACUGCCAUUUCCACGCAAGUCCGUCGGUAGCUCAUGCCGACAAACUGGACAAGAAUUGCGAAGAGAUAACCACGGGAGGAUGCAAUCAUAGUGAUAAAUGUGCUUACAUGGCAUCUCGCGCGCCUCCGUGUUAAGUUCAAAUGGCUCUUUACAAACUGCACAGUGAGAUUCCAUAGAGACGUGGCUGGAGAGGAUUUUGAUCACAGGCAUUGACUCGAUUGCAGCUUUUGAAGCUGGUGGAUGCUCAAAUCGACCAACACCGUUGAUUUCCAAUUGAGUCAACUGAACAAGAAGCCGGUCAAAUCCCGAUUCCAUCAAGAACUCCGACAUGCUCUCCGGUAGAGGACGGAGUCCAGACCCAACACCAUCGUCAUAGUAUAGCUCGAAGUCCCCGGAAGCUCCAUCAUUUGCGCCACCGCCAUCUGCAGGACCUCGGAGAACGAUGACUGGAUUGAAAGGGGAGCGAUCUCCGCCACUCCGACGGUUGCGGCGCAAUCUUGGCGUGGUGAUGUGAUCCGGAUUAGACGGGUACAUUGCGGCGGCAGGCAAUCGAUGGUGGAGUGGGGAACGAGAAGGGGUUCCAAUGUCCUCGACGAAACCGCCGCCACAUUCGGGGCAAAGGAUCGAAUCAUAGGUUGCCCGAACCCUGACCCUGAUGAAACGGCUGCAUCUGUAGCACC